CCCUUAGAUGUUCUGGGCCGCACGCGCGCUACACUGACGAAGUCAGCAAGCAUGUCCUACGCCGACAGGUGCGGGGAAUCUUGUCAAACUUCGUCGUGAUGGGGAUUGAUUAUUGAAAUUCUUGAUCAUCAACGAGGAAUUCCUAGUAAGCGCAAGUCAGCAGCUUGCGUUGAUUACGUCCCUGCCCUUUGUACACACCGCCCGUCGCUACUACCGAUUGAAUGGUUUAGUGAGAUCUUCGGAUUGGCGCCACUGCGGCUCAGCAAUGGGCUCGGUGGAUGCCGAAAAGUUGAUCAAACUUGAUCAUUUAGAGGAAGUAAAAGUCGUAACA
rnacentral:rRNA from 1 species